GGAUAGGGGUGAAAGGCUAAUCAAGCCUGGUGAUAGCUGGUUCUCCCCGAAAGCUAUUUAGGUAGCGCCUCGUGAACUCAUCUUCGGGGGUAGAGCACUGUUUCGGCUAGGGGGUCAUCCCGACUUACCAACCCGAUGCAAACUACGAAUACCGAAGAAUGUUAUCACGGGAGACACACGGCGGGUGCUAACGUCCGUCGUGAAGAGGGAAACAACCCAGACCGCCAGCUAAGGUCCCAAAGUCAUGGUUAAGUGGGAAACGAUGUGGGAAGGCACAGACAGCCAGGAUGUUGGCUUAGAAGCAGCCAUCAUUUAAAGAAAGCGUAAUAGCUCACUGGUCGAGUCGGCCUGCGCGGAAGAUGUAACGGGGCUAAACCAUGCACCGAAGCUGCGGCAGCGACACUAUGUGUUGUUGGGUAGGGGAGCGUUCUGUAAGCCUGCGAAGGUGUGCUGUGAGGCAUGCUGGAGGUAUCAGAAGUGCGAAUGCUGACGUGAGUAACGAUAAAACGGGUGAAAAACCCGCUCGCCGGAAGACCAAGGG
rnacentral:rRNA from 1 species